UCCCUACCACUCCCCAAGGAGGGACGCACGCCGCCGUACGGAGUCAUCACCAACCACUCCUCCGCUUCUCCCUCUCUCUCCACGCCCACGCGACGCGAUGCAUCCUGGAUUGGAGGAAUCGAACGUCGCCGCUCCGCCAUGUUUCGUUAGGAACCGAAACAAUGGGCACCGCAGCCGGCGGCCAACAGUGGUGUCGCGGUACCAGCAGGGAAGCUCAAGGACGCCACCACCGGCGUCGGCCAACCUGGUGCGGUAGGAAACAUGCACGUGCUCGGGGACAUUGGCAACAUCAUCCACGCCACGGCCAGGUCCUCGAUGGCAGGAUCCAUCUACUGGCCCGGCAGGGAUCAAUCGCCCAAUCAUCAGGACGUUCAGCGCUCAACUCUUGAAGAAGGCCCAGGCCGAUCCAUCCAUGAACGGCGUAGAACUGAUUCUUAAUUCCUCCAGCAGCGCGGGCAGCCCUGAAGCCCCCUCGCUGUUACUCGCAGGUCGAUUGGCACCGGCCGCACUCCAACACUGAGGAUGGUGAAGAAUGCAGUUUUUCCUUUUCUUUUUGUACACAAAUGAGGCAAUGCAGUUGGCAUCGACAGCUGCUACUCGCUGGCCUCUCCUGGAGCGCAGGUUGCCAUCACCGUCCGCCGCUUCGAUGCUCGACUGCUGCCCCACGGACUCAUUCGCCACACCCCUACAGCCGACGCUCCUGCCCUCCACUCUGUGCCUAUCAUGAUUUUGACUCCCUGCCAAUACUGCCACCCCGCUGCCGUGGCUGAUUUUUCUUUGUACAUGCAGGGAAAUUAAUUAUAUGCAUGUUCUGAACUGUUGCCUGAUUCCCACUAUUGCUGUUCGCGGGGAUAGUACAGCCUAGACUCUUCAGUAGGUGCAAUGGCAAUAAAGCUUAUGAGCUCAUUUUUAACAUGUACGUGAGCAGUUGACUUGCGUGAAACAAGUAUGUGCCUUGCUUAUAAAUAAAGCCUUGCAUGAUUUGCUCUUUAACUGAUGGACUGAGGAGGAGGUCAGAGAUGUAUAACAAACAUCUUGAUCCAAAUGACAAGUAUGACAGGGCUAACCUGCUUACCUAGAAUUUUACCACAUCCUAAGACUUCCAAAUCUGUACAAUAGGAAUAGCUAGCUGUUUUCUUGUCUACAACUCUCACAUGUAACAGCUUCUCUCACCAUGUCUUCAUGUAGUGUUCAGGUAUGAUUCUUGCGUACUGUCGACAAGGGCGCGAUGUAUUUCCUGAACUGUGUUUUUUUUUUUUGCAUAAUGGUUAAGCUCGGUUUCAACUUCUACCGAGUAUUUGAUAGUGAAGCCUGAUGCAGAUAUUUGAGCAAAAAACAAAAGGCCGAUGCAGAUAUUUGAGGGGAAAAAAGCCUGAUGCAGAUAUAUGGAGGUUAUGCAGUUCCAUUAGCUCUAGAGUUGUCCUCUAUACUGAUGAGGCCUACAUUUUUUGCUCAUGCAGGUUGGAGGGAAACAUGAACUCUGGCAAUCCAAAAUAGCAGACAUAAAACAACUGAAGCUCAUGCGAUGCAGUAUGUUGUGAAGAACUAUGGCAGAGCCUUGUUUGUAUCCAUGUCUAAUGUAUUUUCAUACUGAAUCAAUUGUUGACAAGAAUUUGCCCGUGCAUUUGGUCCUAUCACUGACAACAAUUCGAACAUGUCAAUCGGGGAAAGGUGAUGAGAGAAAUUCAGAAUGGGGACAAAAUGGUCUUCACCACUAGCGGACUCUUCUAUCCCACUGACUCCCCGGAUGGCGUUGUAUUCGAGUCCAGCAAUUCAACUUAUGAACAUAACAUGUACGCUGAACCCAAGAGAGAAUGAGUUACAACUACUUUUUAUUAAUAUCUUUAUUCAAAGUUUGCAUCUCUAUCAUGUUCACUUGGAUAAUGACUAUACCUAUUAUACAUCCUCUCAAGUUCACACAAGAUAUUAGACACCGUCCAUUCUUUACUA